rnacentral:rRNA from 1 species
CCUACGGGAGGCUGCAGUGAGGAAUAUUGGUCAAUGGCCGUAAGGCUGAACCAGCCAAGUAGCGUGAGGGAAGACUGCCCUAUGGGUUGUAAACCUCUUUUAUGCGGGGAUAAAGGUGUCCACGUGUGGAUGUUUGCAGGUACCGCAUGAAUAAGGACCGGCUAAUUCCGUGCCAGCAGCCGCGGUAAUACGGAAGGUCCGGGCGUUAUCCGGAUUUAUUGGGUUUAAAGGGAGCGUAGGCCGGUCUUUAAGCGUGCCGGGAAAUUUUGUGGCUCAACCCUGAGAGUGCGGCGCAAACUGGAGACCUUGAGUGCGCGGAAGGCAGGCGGAAUUCGUGGUGUAGCGGUGAAAUGCUUAGAUAUCACGAAGAACCCCGAUUGCGAAGGCAGCCUGCCGCAGCGUUACUGACGCUGAAGCUCGAAAGCGCGGGUAUCGAACAGGAUUAGAUACCCGUGUAGUC